rnacentral:rRNA from 1 species
CCUACGGGAGGCAGCAGUGGGGAAUAUUGGGCAAUGGGCGCAAGCCUGACCCAGCAACGCCGCGUGAAGGAAGAAGGCUUUCGGGUUGUAAACUUCUUUUCUCAGGGACGAAGAAAGUGACGGUACCUGAGGAAUAAGCCACGGCUAACUACGUGCCAGCAGCCGCGGUAAUACGUAGGGGGCAAGCGUUAUCCGGAAUCACUGGGUGUAAAGGGAGCGUAGACGGCUGAGCAAGCCUGAAGUGAAAGGCGGGGGCCCAACCCCCGGACUGCUUUGGGAACUGUACGGCUGGAGUGCAGGAGAGGUAAGUGGAAUUCCUAGUGUAGCGGUGAAAUGCGUAGAUAUUAGGAGGAACAUCAGUGGCGAAGGCGACUAUCUGGCACAUAACUGACGCUGAGGAGCGAAAGCGUGGGUAGCAAACAGGAUUAGAUACCCGUGUAGUC